AACGAACGCUGGCGGCAUGCCUAACACAUGCAAGUCGAACGAGACCUUCGGGUCUAGUGGCGCACGGGUGCGUAACGCGUGGGAACCUGCCCUUAGGUUCGGAAUAACUCCCCGAAAGGGGUGCUAAUACCGGAUAAUGUCUUCGGACCAAAGAUUUAUCGCCUUUGGAUGGGCCCGCGUUGGAUUAGCUAGUUGGUAGGGUAAAAGCCUACCAAGGCGACGAUCCAUAGCUGGUCUGAGAGGAUGAUCAGCCACACUGGGACUGAGACACGGCCCAGACUCCUACGGGAGGCAGCAGUGGGGAAUAUUGGACAAUGGGCGAAAGCCUGAUCCAGCAAUGCCGCGUGAGUGAUGAAGGCCUUAGGGUUGUAAAGCUCUUUUACUCGGGAUGAUAAUGACAGUACCGGGACAAUAAGCUCCGGCUAACUCCGUG
rnacentral:rRNA from 1 species